CCUACGGGAGGCAGCAGUCGAGAAUCAUUCACAAUGGGGGAAACCCUGAUGGUGAGAAGACGCGUGGGGGAAGGAAGGGCGGCGGAUGGUAAACCCCUGGCAUGUGGGAGCAAAUUAAAAAGAUAGUACCACAAGAGGAAGAGACGGCUAACUCUGUGCCAGCAGCCGCGGUAAUACAGAGGUCUCAAGCGUUGUUCGGAAGCACUGGGCGUAAAGCGUGCGUAGGCUGUUUCGUAAGUCGGGUGUGAAAGGCGCGGGCUCAACCCGCGGACGGCACAUGAUACUGCGAGACUAGAGUAAGGGAGGGGGAACCGGAAUUCUCGGGGUAGCAGUGAAAUGCGUAGAUAUCGAGAGGAACACUCGUGGCGAAGGUGGGUUCCUGGACAUUAACUGACGCUGAGGCACGAAGGCCAGGGGAGCGAAAGGGAUUAGAUACCCUAGUAGUC
rnacentral:rRNA from 1 species